GCCCAGGUAGCUCAGUUGGUAGAGCAGGGGACUGAAAAUCCCCGUGUCGGCAGUUCGAAUCUGUCCCUGGGCACCA
rnacentral:tRNA from 4 species